UCCUACGGGAGGCAGCAGUAGGGAAUCUUCCGCAAUGGACGAAAGUCUGACGGAGCAACGCCGCGUGAGUGAUGAAGGCUUUCGGGUCGUAAAACUCUGUUGUUAGGGAAGAACAAGUGCUAGUUAAAUAAGCUGGCACCUUGACGGUACCUAACCAGAAAGCCACGGCUAACUACGUGCCAGCAGCCGCGGUAAUACGUAGGUGGCAAGCGUUAUCCGGAAUUAUUGGGCGUAAAGCGCGCGCAGGUGGUUUCUUAAGUCUGAUGUGAAAGCCCACGGCUCAACCGUGGAGGGUCAUUGGAAACUGGGAGACUUGAGUGCAGAAGAGGAAAGUGGAAUUCCAUGUGUAGCGGUGAAAUGCGUAGAGAUAUGGAGGAACACCAGUGGCGAAGGCGACUUUCUGGUCUGUAACUGACACUGAGGCGCGAAAGCGUGGGGAGCAAACAGGAUUAGAUACCCUGGUAGUCCACGCCGUAAACGAUGAGUGCUAAGUGUUAGAGGGUUUCCGCCCUUUAGUGCUGAAGUUAACGCAUUAAGCACUCCGCCUGGGGAGUACGGCCGCAAGGCUGAAACUCAAAGGAAUU
rnacentral:rRNA from 1 species